AGGGCCGUAUUUUGCUUCCUUCGCAAUAAAGAAUUUUCGCACACAAGCAAUCUUCAUUCAGAGAAGUUUCCAGCCAUCGGGACAAUUCCUUCGACUAGAACCAGGCAAAGUUAUGUCGCGCAAUUUGGAAGUAAGAAGAGCUGAUGCCUUAAUAUUUAUGGCUUACGACGCAGUAUCAUUACAACGUGUCACACUGAAUGGUAAAAAUGAGAUUAGGCUCAUUCCUACGACUCAACGAAAAACAGCAACUGUGUUAUCCGUGCCUUAUAAUGGUU